rnacentral:misc_RNA from 1 species
AAGGAUAUAUUCGGAACAUCUUCUACGAAGAUGCGGAAUAACGUGACAUAUUGUAUUCAGUUUUGAAUGUUUAUUAACAUUCAAAUAAAUCGUUUUAAAAGAGAGCGUUUGACAAAUAAUACUAUUUGCCAAUGCUUCAUUUAAAAUUGAUUGUUGUACAUUGAAAACUAGAUAAGUAAGUAAAUUAGAUUUUACCAAGCAAAACCGAGUGAAUUAGAGUUUUAAAUAAGCUUGAAUUCAUAAGAAAUAAUCGCUAGUGUUCGAAAGAACACUCACAAGAUUAAUAACACAUACACACUUAUAUAAUUUUGAAAGAAAAUGUUUGUCAGGCGAGGCGUUGAAGCAUUUCUAAGCGCAGUUUACUUUUGUAAAUGAGCAUUAGAAAUGAUGAAACAACAAAGCAUGCGMGCGUUUGACUCAAAAUGAAUGAGCUUUAAAAGAAAUCGUAUUCAGAUAAUGAGUUGAACCAUUUUGAAGCACAGUUUACUAAUGUAAAUGAGCAUUUAAAAUGGUGAAACGAAGCCAUAUGAAUGCGAUUGACUUAAAGCACAGUGUGGAA